CUGGCUCAGGAUGAACGCUGGCGGCGUGCCUAACACAUGCAAGUCGAACGGAAACUAAGCGCUUCGGAGACUUCGGUCAAUGUUGCUUGGUUUAGUGGCGGACGGGUGAGUAACGCGUGGAUAACCUGCCUCAUACAGGGGGAUAACAGUUAGAAAUGACUGCUAAUACCGCAUAAGCGCACGGAAUCGCAUGUUUCUGUGUGAAAAGCUCCGACGGUAUGAGAUGGAUCCGCGUCUGAUUAGCGGGUUGGCGGGGUAACAGCCCACCAAGGCGACGAUCAGUAGCCGGCCUGAGAGGGUGAACGGCCACAUUGGGACUGAGACACGGCCCAAACUCCUACGGGAGGCAGCAGUGGGGGAUAUUGCACAAUGGGGGAAACCCUGAUGCAGCCGACGCCGCGUGAGUGAAGAAGUAUUUCGGUAUGUAAAGCUCUAUCAGCAGGGAAGAUAAUGACGGUACCUGACUAAGAAGCACCGGCUAAAUACGUGCCAGCAGCCGC
rnacentral:rRNA from 1 species